AUGGGAACAACAUCAACCACGAUGGGACAACCUGAAAGCGGCAGAAAAUCCAGAAUCACCUCAACAACGCCUGCUGUCAGCGUUACUUCACCAUCACCACAAGGCUGGUGGAGGCUCGUCACGGUGUCUGUGGGUUUAGCAGCACUCGUAAUAACUGUAGUGGCGGUCAACAUAUGGAUAAGAACUAAAGG